UACGGGGGGGGCAAGCGUUGUUCGGAAUUACUGGGCGUAAAGGGCUUGUAGGUGGCCAACUAAGUCAGACGUGAAAUCCCUCGCUUAACCUGGAGACGCCACUCGAUACUGCCAUGGCUAGAGUCCGGUAGGGGACCACGGAAUUCCUGGUGUGAGCGGUGAAAUGCGCAGAUAUCAGGAGGAACACCGGUGGCGAAGGCGGUGGUCUGGGCCGGCACUGACGCUGAGGAGCGAAAGCGUGGGGAGCAAACGGG
rnacentral:rRNA from 1 species